CCUCCCUCUUACCACCCCCCGCCUCUAAAUCCCUCCAAGAAAUCAGCAGCGACCAGGGACCCACCUCCCCUCCCUGAGCUGGCUCCUGUCCAGUCAUCGUCCUAGCGGGAGGCGCUUCCACAGCACCAGAGAGCCCCUCUCUCGCUCUGACAUUUCUAAUACACGCAAUUACACCAUUUAUCAAAACCUCCUCCAGACAUUCCGAUCAACAUCACCACGCGCCAAACGUACAAGGAGGGAACACGGAGCUGGACACGCAGCGUGGUGUUCGGGCUCUGCCUGUCCUUCUGCGGGAGAUCAUCGCCCCCUCAGGAACACGGGUGCACUGCUGAAAAAGAAUGGUCUGAUCUUUUCUUCUUUUUAAAAAAAAAAACAAAAUAAAAAAAAAAACACUUAAGGUACGAGAUCACAAAAUGUGAUUGGAAUGUUCUUAACCGAACAUUCUAAUGCUGAUGGUGACAGGCGCUGCUGGUGAUGGAAAACAACGGAGUUCUAGAACACUGACUUAGAAUGUUGAGAUGAACAUUC